rnacentral:lncRNA from 12 species
CAAAUUCUAUGGAAAAAUCUAUCGCAAUGCCCCCUCCCCAUUACCAUUCAGGAAUUGGGCUUUAGGGGAGGGUGGAGGGUACAAGUCCUUUCAUCAGAGACCAGUAUCAAUGAUUUAUUAUGUGCCUUUAAGAACAAAAAAAAUGAACUUUCACCCUUUCCUCAGGACCAAGCAUUUGGACCUCCCGCACAGCCAGAAAGCUGCAUUCUCAAUGCUUCUUCCCAAUUUCUCAUUUGCGCUGGUCCCUGAGAUAAGAGGAGGAUGUUCAAGAGAAAGCCUUGCAAAAGGUCCCAGGAGCAGUGGGCUGUGAACUCCUCUCUUGGCAGCGAGUUAAAGGGCAGAGAAACAUCCAGAAUGGUAAAUGAAUUGGUAUGUGUGAGUCUGUGUGUCUGGAUGUGUUAUAAUCAGUACCUAAUAUAUUUUUGAUCUGGAGUGAAUUGCUUCUUAAUGCUCUCUCCUUGGGACACCUGGGUGGCUCAGUUGGUUAAGUAUCUGCCUUCAGCUCAGGCCGUGAUCCCGAGGUCCUGGGAUUGAGUCCCACAUUGGGCUCCCCACAGAGAGCCUGCUUCUCCCUCUGCCCAUGUCUCGGCCUCUCUCUAUGUCUCGAAUGAAUGAAUGAAUGAAUGAAUGAAUGAAUAAAUAAAUAAAUAAAUAAAUAAAUAAAUAAAUA